CCGAUGGUAGUGGGUUAACAGAACUUAUUAACAUUAGUGUCACUAACGUUGGUAUACCACCCCCCACUGCUAAAUUUG
rnacentral:sRNA from 1 species